rnacentral:rRNA from 1 species
AGUGAACGCUGGCGGUAGGCCUAACACAUGCAAGUCGAACGGCAGCACAGUAAGAGCUUGCUCUUACGGGUGGCGAGUGGCGGACGGGUGAGGAAUACAUCGGAAUCUACUUUUUCGUGGGGGAUCACGUAGGGAAACUUACGCUAAUACCGCAUACGACCUACGGGUGAAAGCAGGGGAUCUUCGGACCUUGCGCGAUUGAAUGAGCCGAUGUCGGAUUAGCUAGUUGGCGGGGUAAAGGCCAACCAAGGCGACGAUCCGUAGCUGGUCUGAGAGGAUGAUCAGACACACUGGAACUGAGACACGGUCCAGACUCCUACGGGAGGCAGCAGUGGGGAAUAUUGGACAAUGGGCGCAAGCCUGAUCCAGCCAUACCGCGUGAGUGAAGAAGGCCUUCGGGUUGUAAAGCCCUUUUGUUGGGAAAGAAAAGCAGCAGGUUAAUACCCCGCUGUUCUGACGGUACCCAAAGAAUAAGCACCGGCUAACUUCGUG